AUUGAACGCUGGCGGUAUGCUUAACACAUGCAAGUCGAACGGUAACAGGCCUUCGGGCGCUGACGAGUGGCGGACGGUGAGUAACGCGUAGGAAUCUGCCUCAUAGUGGGGACAACGUGGGAAACUCACGCUAAUACCGCAUACGCCUACGGGGAAAGCGGGGAGUCUUCGGACUCGCGCUAUGAGAUGAGCCUGCGUUAGAUUACCUAGUUGGUAGGGUAAAGGCCUACCAAGGCGACGAUCUAUAGCUGGUCUGAGAGGACGAUCAGCCACACUGGGACUGAGACACGGCCCAGACUCCUACGGGAGGCAGCAGUGGGGAAUAUUGGACAAUGGGCGCAAGCCUGAUCCAGCAAUACCGCGUGUGUGAAGAAGGCCUUAGGGUU
rnacentral:rRNA from 1 species